rnacentral:rRNA from 1 species
AACUGCUUUUAUGUGGGGAUAAAGUGAGCUACGUGUAGUUUAUUGCAGGUACCACAUGAAUAAGGACCGGCUAAUUCCGUGCCAGCAGCCGCGGUAAUACGGAAGGUCCGGGCGUUAUCCGGAUUUAUUGGGUUUAAAGGGAGCGUAGGCCGUGGAUUAAGCGUGUUGUGAAAUGCAGACGCUCAACGUCCGAAUUGCAGCGCGAACUGGUUCACUUGAGUAUGCGCAACGUAGGCGGAAUUCGUCGUGUAGCGGUGAAAUGCUUAGAUAUGACGAAGAACUCCGAUUGCGAAGGCAGCUUACGGGAGCACAACUGACGCUGAAGCUCGAAGGUGCGGGUAUCAAACAGGAUUAGAUACCCUGGUAGUCC